GCUGAAAUGUAGAAUAAUGCAUAGAACAAGAAAACAGAAGUAAGCAUGUGAAAGCAUGGUGAUUUCUGUUUUCUUGUUUUCUGCAUUCUUCAGCAUUUUAGCUUUACCGAAAUGCUUUAUUUGCAACUAAUUAUGUUUCUUUAUGUUUAGAUUCUGUUCAUGUAGUACAGAAAUCUACGUCCGAUGGCAAGCCUUUGACUUGUGCUAAUUGUGGGACCGUUGGCUUUGCUGGUUCGCCUUCCCCAAUGAAGCGGCAGCGAUCUUCUUAGUUUGUCACUCUCUUUUGAUUUCCUUUUUUUUUUUUUUUUUUGUUUGUGCUCUAAUGAAGUAAUUUAGAGUUGGCUCUAUGCCUCAGUUUAAUUUUUUGUUUGUACGUUUUUUGUUUGAACGUAUUGUUCGAAUUGACAAUUUGUUAUUUAUGUCUAAUAUCUAAAUAAAAUAAAACAAUUUAGAUCCUG